UGGGGAAUAUUGCACAAUGGGGGAAACCCUGAUGCAGCGACGCCGCGUGAGUGAGGAAGUAUUUCGGUAUGUAAAGCUCUAUCAGCAGGGAAGAAAAUGACGGUACCUGACUAAGAAGCCCCGGCUAACUACGUGCCAGCAGCCGCGGUAAUACGUAGGGGGCAAGCGUUAUCCGGAUUUACUGGGUGUAAAGGGAGCGUAGACGGCUAAUCAAGUCAGAAGUGAAAACCCAGGGCUCAACCUUGGGACUGCUUUUGAAACUGAGUAGCUAGAGUGCAGGAGAGGUAAGCGGAAUUCCUAGUG
rnacentral:rRNA from 1 species